rnacentral:rRNA from 1 species
UACGUAGGGGGCGAGCGUUAUCCGGAUUCAUUGGGCGUAAAGCGCGCGCAGGCGGUUGCUCAAGCGGAACCUCUAAUCUCGGGGCUUAACCUCGAGCCGGGUUCCGAACUGGACGACUCGAGUGCGGUAGAGGCAGAUGGAAUUCCCGGUGUAGCGGUGGAAUGCGCAGAUAUCGGGAAGAACACCAACGGCGAAGGCAGUCUGCUGGGCCGUCACUGACGCUGAGGCGCGAAAGCUGGGGGAGCGAACA